rnacentral:lncRNA from 15 species
AUGGGGGUGCUCACAUUUUGUAAACUGGAGCAGUACAACCUUACUCAACCGCAGUCGUGUCAGGAGUGUACCUGCUACAGCGACGUGGCCAUCUGCAGGCCCACCCACUGCCCCAACCCACAGUGUGACUUCCAGAAGGGCGAGCGUUUGAGGAUUCCUGCCAACAAGUGCUGUCCGGAGUGCAUCUCCUCAUCCCAGGGCUCCUGCCAGUACCAAGGAGUCAUUUAUGGACAUGACAGCCAGUGGAGUCCAUCGUCCUGCACCGUGUGUGUUUGCUCCAGAGAGAGUGUAUCUUGUAAUGCUCAUCCCUGUCCAAGUCUCACCUGCCCUGGGGACCAGAGCUUGUUCACCCCAGCUGGAGAAUGCUGUCCCAAGUGUGGCCGCAAGUCUUGCUCCUGGCAGGGGACUGUGUACAGAGACGGUGAAGAAUGGAAGCCUAGCCUCUGUUCCAGAUGUGUCUGCAGCAACGGGGAAGUCCAGUGCUUAGUUGCAGAGUGUCAGCAAGUAGCCUGCAAACCUCAUGAGAACUUGGUGAUCCAGCCAGGCCAGUGCUGUCCUCAGUGUGUGUCCAACCCCUGUCUGUCUGCUGGUAAACAGUACCAGCAUGGCGAGCAGUGGCAGAAGAACGCCUGCACCACAUGUGUGUGUGACCAGGGCCAGUCUAAAUGCCACACACACACCUGUCGACCAAUAGUCUGUGACAAGGUGGGUCUUCGGGCUGGUCAGUGCUGUGAUGAAUGUGCCGCUGCCAAGGGAAGCUGCCUGUACGAGGGUGCAGUGCGUUACCAUGGUGACAUGUGGAACGGCACGGGAUGUGAGUUCUGUGCCUGCAACCGGGGUCAGGUCCUGUGCCAGAGGGCAGAGUGCGGUCGUGUUGAGUGCCCGCAGGGAUCGGAGCUCAUUCACCUGCCGGGGAAGUGCUGCCCGGAGUGUUCCUCUGUGAAACCUUCCUGUAUGUACAAGGGGAAAUCCUACAAGGAUCUGACUCAAUGGACUGAUAGCGAUUGCCAGGAGUGUGAAUGCCGUGAGACCCAGGUGACUUGUUAUCUGCGUUCCUGUCCCACCUGCCCAUUGGGCACCCUGGCCAUCAUCCGGGAGGGCAAAUGCUGCCCAGAGUGUCAUCAAGUCCAGUGCCAUGCAGACUGCCUGUCAUGUUCGGGGACACCUGACCAAUGUGAGAGCUGCAGGGACCCAAAGGCCUUCCUCCAUCUUGGACACUGUCUAUCCGUCUGUCCAGCUGGCUACUACGCUGAAGGACGAGUAUGUGCAGCCUGCCAGUCAUCCUGUGCCACCUGUUCCAGCAGGUUGGACUGUCAGUCCUGUGGCUCCCAGCUGCCCCUGCUGAGUGCUGAUGCCGGCCAGUGCCUGGCCUCCUGUCCUCCUGGUUCCUACCAGCACGACCACGCACACUGCUGUCAUGAGUCGUGCUCAGAGUGCCGUGGGCCAAGCCAGCAGGAGUGUGUGUCAUGUUCAGACCCAGCUGCCUUGCUCAAAGACGGGGAAUGUGUUCCCGACUGUGACGCUGGUUUCUACAGUCAAGAAGGCGUCUGCUACGCCUGUGAUUCGUCCUGUGCCUCCUGUUUCCCUGACAACCCCAAGUGCAUGAGCUGUCUGCCGGGGACCGCCUUGCACCAUGGGAAAUGUAUUUCCCAGUGUCCUGUUCAGCAUUACCUGGACAACUACAGCAGAUCCUGCCAUAGCUCCUGCGCUUCCUGUUGGGGUCCCUCAGUAUCUCAGUGUACCUUAUGUCCAGGUGGGCUCCUUCUCCACCAAGGCCAGUGUGUGGAGGCCUGUGGGGAGGGACUCUACUCCCAGGACAACAGCUGCCACAAUUGUCAUCCCUCCUGUCGUUCCUGCGUGGGACCAUUGGCCUCAGACUGCCUUCACUGUCUUAAACCAGAGGAAGCCCUUCUGCUGCAGUCCAGUCACCUGCAGCACGGAGUCUGCACAGCUGGAUGCCCGGCACACAGCUUCCUGGAUUACAUGCAGACAUGCAGAGAGUGUCAUCCCUCCUGCUGGCUCUGUACUGGGCCAUCUGCGGACAACUGUACGUCCUGUCCCUCCCCAACCAACCUGCAUGAGGGCCGCUGUGUCCCCAGCUGCCCGCAAGGCUUCUUCACCCAGGAUAACCAAUGCCAAGCAUGCCACCCGUCCUGCCAGACUUGCUCCGGUCCCUCCCAAGCCGACUGCACCUCCUGUCCCCCAUUGGCGUCCCUACAGAGUGGCUACUGCAGGACGAGCUGUGAAGACGGACAUUUCCUCAACGCUGUCACUGGAGAGUGCCUCAAGUGUAGUUCAGACUGUCAGCGCUGCACAGCAGACCUCCAGACGGGCAUCGGCAGUGUUUGUCUGUGGUGUAAAGUGCCAAGGACCUUGCUGCUUGGCGAUCACUGCGUCUCCCACUGUCCCCGUGGCCACUACGGCUGGCACGGAGCCUGCAUCAGAUGCCAUCCGUCAUGUGGUGCCUGCAGUGGGGCGGGGCCUCUCUCCUGUACUUCCUGCCCCACCAACAGUGCUCUUUUGCCCUCGGGUCUUUGUGCUCCCAAAUGUCCCCUUGGUUACUAUGACAAUGGCCACAGGAUCUGUCAGGCGUGUGACAACCAGUGCCUGACGUGCGACAUGGCCGGAGUUUGUAUGUCCUGCCGCGACCCAGCCAAAGUCCUGCUGUUUGGAGAAUGCCAAUACGACAGUUGCGCCCAUCAGUACUACCUCAAUGCCACGACCCGGGCAUGCAGAGAGUGCGACUGGAGCUGCAAUGCCUGUAAAGGCCCCCUGCGUACAGACUGUCUGCUGUGCAUGGAGGGAUACGUGUUGCAGGACGGAGUGUGCACCCAGGGGUGCUCCCCUGGCUCCUAUCAGGAAGGAGACAAAUGCUGUGAUGAUCACUGUGUGGAGUGUCGGGGGCCCGGACAGUGUCAGCAAUGUCAGCCUCCCUACGCCACCCUGCAGGGUCAGUGUGUGCUUGAAUGUGGCAGAAACUACUUCCUGGACUCCUCCUCCCAAGUCUGCAAAUGUAAGUUAAGACUAGAUCAUUCAUUUUUCUUCCUCUUUCUGUCCUCCCUCCUCCUCUCAGUGAACACACACCCCCCUGCCCUCCAGGUCAUCGGUUCUCUGCUGGUUCCCCUUGGUGGUUUUAUCCCGCUGCCCCCAACCCUGCUGCAGGUGAAGGACCCUGACAGUCCAUCUGACCGGCUGAUCUUCCAACUCGUUCAGGGCCCGAGUAACGGACGGCUGAUCCUGUUCAGAGGGAAGGAAGGAGCACUGAGAACUGGCCGCGUCCGGUUCAGCCACCAAAAAGACAAAGCCAGGACUGGCGAGGUCACCUUGCGUGUCGCCGAUCCCCAGCUGUUUUCUCAGCCUGAAACAAUUCAAGUUCAAGCCUUGUCAAUGCAGCCUCCAAGAGUUGUGACUCUUGCUCCUUUAACCGUGGACAGCCGUGGCGCCCUGGCAACCAUCACCAAGUCAGUGCUGCAGGUCGACGACCCCGACAACCCAAGCGAUGUCCUGGUCAUGCUCCUUGAACCUCCCCGCUACGGCCGGCUGACCCGUCUCCACGGUGAUCGAGCACUCAGCCGAUUCAAGCUGGAGGAGUUGUCACGGGAACAGAUCCAGUACAUCCACGACGGCUCAGACAGGAUGGAGGACGGCAUGGUGCUGCAGGUCAAUGAUGGCCACAGCUACAAGAAUAUUCUCCUCCAAGUACACAUCAAUCAGAAGGUUGCUGACUCUCCUCACGUGCUGUCUGUGCCAAUGACCUGGGUAAAAGAAGGAGGCAUGGUACGACUUGACAAAAAAUACCUGCAGACGGAGUACAAGGGAGUCAGCCUUGACGACAUUGUCUACACUAUCGUCGCCUCGGAUGGAGAACCUAAAUAUGGUGAGGUUGUGCUGGUGUCCAUGCCAGCUGACGGCCCAGCAGAAGGGUGGCGGCCCUCGCUAACUGACGACAGAGGCUUCACACCCACAACUUCCUUCACACAACAAGAUGUCAACGACGGCACCGUUUGGUAUCGCCACUUUGGCAGCGGGACCAACGGUGACUCCUUCCAGUUCCAGGUCAGUAGCGAUGCCCAGACCUUCACCAUAGGAGUCCUGCCUCAGAUUCCAGGAUUCCCCCAGCUGGCCCCCGACUGCGACCUACAGAUCACGGCUCUGGAGGAUCGGGUGACUGAGAUAACACCUUCAGCUCUGUCUUUCGUUGACUCUGAGACUCCCAGCGAGAAGCUUAUCUACAACGUCACUAAAGCCCUUCCGCCAGGACAAGGUGCAAUCGAGCAUCGGGACAGACCGUACACACCGGUGAAACAUUUCACUCAGGCCGACGUCAAUAAUGGCAAGAUCAUCUACAGACCGCCACAGGCCCCUUCACACCUGCAGGAGCUCUACCAGUACUCCUUCAUCGGCCUGCCGGAGUCGCUGAGCGUCUAUUUCACAGGUAAAUACUUCAUCUUCCUCAACUCUUCCCCACAUCCUACAUAUUUUUCUUCCACCUCCUCUCAUCUUUUCAUGCCAAAUCCUCUCCAUCCCCAGUCCUUUUUUCCCUCCACCUUCAAUCUUCCUGGGGCUCCCCGAGAAAUACAAGGACUCAAAUCAACGGUCAAAACCAGAAACAGGCAAACACACACCACGGUUCACACCUUCUCCAUCCCCUCAGGUGACACCUUCACCUUCAGCGACGUCACCCGCAAUGUUCUGCUCUACCGACACACUGGCCUCUCCACCCAGGACGACGCCAUCACCUUCUCUGUUAGUGAUGGCAUCUCAAUGGCAACCACAGCGGUGCAGGUGGUGGUGUUGGGUGCUGGGGAUGAUGGGCCGCAACGGGACCCAGCAGCCACACUGUCAAUGGAAGUGGGCGAGAAAAGCAGCACUUUGAUCAGGCGCUCGCACCUGGCUUAUACUGACAACACGUCCCCAGACGACCAGAUUCAGAUCCAGUUGGUGUCAGUACCGAUGUACGGCAUCCUGACUAGGAGCCAGUCUCAGCAGGAACACCAGGAGCUGAGGGAGUACUCGUCUUUCACCAUGGAGGACAUCAGCAAGCACAGGAUCAGGUACAUCACUUCCUUAGAGACGGGCAGCCAGCCGGUCACCGACAUCUUCCACUUCGUUGUUUAUGACGGCGACAACAAUCGUCUUGACAACCAGAUGUACACCAUCACCAUCACCUCCACACCCAGACAGCCGCCGGUGUAUUUUGUUAUUAAGGUUCAGGAAGGUGGCCGAGUGCAGCUGUCUACCAAUCACAUCAUAGUGUCGGACCUGGACACGCCCCAGAAGGACCUGCUAGUUUGGCUCGUCAGUCCUCCAAAGUAUGGCUUCAUCGAAAACACCAACACAGGAGGUUCAGUUGGCGGCUCGCGAGUCGUCACCCCUGAUGUGCCAUUCUCUGUGGAGGACCUGACGUCAGACCACAUCUUCUACGUCCAGGACAGCCAGCAAAAAUCUCAGGCCAAACAGGACGUCUUCAGCUUCUACAUCAGCGAUGGACACAGCCAGACAGAGGCUUUCAACGUCGAAAUUGACAUCCAGAGUAAAGAGGACAGAGAGCCUGUGGUGUCGGUCAGCAGCAUCCACGUGGAGGAAAACUCUGGAGUCGUCAUUACCAACUCGUCUCUCAGUGUCCUCGACCAGGACACACCAGAGAACGAGAUCCUCUUCACCAUCAUCAGGAAGCCUUCCUACGGCAAACUCCGCAGACGGCUGUUCUACUCUCAGCCACUGGAGAACGGCCGGGUCCUCACACAGGGCUCUACCUUCACCUACCAGGACGUCCUGGACCAGUUGCUGGUCUACACACCUGAAACCGUCAGCGGGGGAGCCGAUGAAAUGGGUUUCACCCUCACCGAUGGCAUCUUCACGUACACGGGCCGUCUGGAGUUCACCAUGGAUGUCAGGAGGAGUGAAGGACCCCGGAUGAACGUCAACAGAGGCCUGCAGCUCCCGGCAGAAAGUGUGAGAAAAAUCACAGAGCAGAAUCUGAAGGGUACAGACAUUGACUCAGACAUCCUGAAGCUCAAGUACAUCUUGACCAAAGACCCUCCAGCCGGCAAACUACAGCUCAGCAAGAACGAACGUGUGGAGAAGAUUUCUGUUAAAGGUCCCAUUCAGAGCUUCACCCAGGACGACGUCAACAAAGGCCUACUGCAGUACAGCCAUGAGAAAGGGGAGAAGGGAGGCAGCCUGUCUUUCAAGUUCAACCUGGUCGAUCCAGAGGGCAACAAACUGAUCGACCAAUCCUUCUUCAUCAGUGUGCUCGAGGAUCGUCUUCCUCCGUCUGUGGUAGUGAACAAAGGCCUGGUGCUGGAUGAAAACACAAUGAAGAAGUUGACCACCCUGCAGCUGUCAGCCAGCGACCAGGACAGCGAACCAAGCGAGCUCAUCUACCGCAUCACCAAACAGACGAGCCUGGGUCACCUGGAGCACGCAGCCAGCCCAGGUACCAGAAUCAGCACAUUCACCCAGGCUGACCUAGCAUCACGCAGCAUCCAGUAUGUCCACACCAGUGAAGAAGAGAAGCAUGCAGAUCAGUUCUCCUUUGUCGUGUCAGAUGGGACAAAUGAGGUUGCCCAGACAUUCUACAUCACCAUCAAGCCAGUGGACGACUCCCUGCCUCUGCUCCAGGUUCCUGGCAUGAGGGUCCAGGAAGGGGUGCGAAAAACCAUCACUGAAUUUGAGCUGAAAGCCACUGAUGCAGACACUGAGGCGGAGUCCAUUGUCUUCACUGUUGUCCAGGCUCCUCGACAUGGCACCAUUGAGCGCACAAGCAACGGCCAACACUACCGGCAGACCAGCAGCUUCACCAUGGACGACAUCUACCAGAACCGCAUCAGCUACAACCACGAUGGCUCCAACUCGCUCAAGGACCGCUUCACCUUCACUGUGGCUGAUGGCACCAACCUGCUCUUCAUGGUGGAGGAGGGCAGCAAGGAGAUCAUCACGGCUGCUCCACAGAAGUUCAAGAUCGAUAUUCUGCCAGUUGACGAUGGCACGCCACGUAUUGUCACCAACCUGGGACUGCAGUGGCUGGAGUACAUGGAGAACAAGGCCACCAACCUGAUCACCAAGAAGGAGCUGCUGACCAUGGACCCGGACACAGAUGAUGGACAGCUGGUUUAUGAAAUCACCACAGAGCCAAAGCAUGGCUUCCUGGAGAGCAAGCUGAAACCUGGCAACACCAUCACCACCUUCACACAAGCUGAUAUCAAUCUGGGUCUGAUCCGCUACGUGCUGCAUCAGGAGAACGUUCAGGAAACCAUGGACAACUUCAAGUUCCUGGUCAAAGACAGCAAACCAAAUGUGGUCAGCGACAAUGUCUUCCACAUCCAGUGGUCACUCAUCAGCUUUGAGCACAAAAGCUACAAUGUGAGUGAGAAGGCAGGCACGGUGGCCGUGACGGUGAAGCGAACAGGUAACCUCAACCAGUACGCCAUUGUGCUCUGCCGUACUGAACAGGGCAGCGCCACCUCCACCAGCAGUGUCGGAUCCCGUCCAGGCCAGCAGGACUAUGUGGAAUAUGCUGGACAGGUACAGUUUGAUGAGCGCGAGGACACCAAGGUGUGCACCAUAGUCAUUAAUGAUGACAAGGUGUUUGAGGGAAGGGAGAACUUCCACGUGGAGCUGAGCAUGCCUGUGUAUGCGCUGUUGGGUGGAAACACGCGUGCCAUCGUCAACAUCAACGAUACUGAGGACGAACCAACUCUGCAGUUUGAUAAGAAGACCUACCACGUCAACGAGAGCACGGGCUUCAUCCACGCACCCAUCGAGAGAAAAGGUGACACCUCCAGCACCGUGUCUGCUCUCUGCUACACCGUGACCAAGUCGGCUCAGGGCAGCAGCCUCCACGCUCUGGAGUCCGGCUCUGACUACAAGAGCCGCGGCAUGAGCAACGACAACCGUGUCAUCUUCGGCCCCGGCAUCAGCAUGUCCACCUGUGACGUUAAGCUCAUCGACGACAGCGAGUACGAGCUGUCUGAGGAGUUUGAGCUGGUGCUUUCAGAUGCUUCGGAUAACGCUCGCAUGGGGGACGUGACGGUGGCCAAGGUCGUCAUCGAUGGACCCAAUGAUGCAUCCACUGUUUCUCUUGGGAACGCCACCUUUACUUUCAGUGAAGAUGCCGGCACAAUUGAAAUACCAGUGCUGCGCCAUGGCAGUGACCUGUCGUCUGUUACCUCUGUGUGGUGUGCCACCCGGCCUUCAGACCCCCCCUCAGCCAGCCCGGGGGUCGACUACAUCCCCAGCUCCAAGAAGGUGGAGUUCAAACCUGGUAAAACUGAGGAGACCUGCAGUUUAACCAUCAUGGAUGACAUCCAGAACCCGUCCAUUGAAGGAUCUGAGUCUUUUGUGGUGUUCCUCAGUUCUCCUCAGGGUGCUGUCCUCCAAGAGCCCUACGAAGCAAACGUUGUCAUCACUGACACCUUCCAGGACAUUCCCAGCAUGCAGUUUGAGAAGAGCGUCUACACUGUGAAGGAGAAAGACCGUGUCCUCCACAUCCCCAUCUUCCGCACAGGUGACCUCUCCUUCAAGUCAUCAGUACGUUGUUUCACUCGGACCAUGUCAGCCAUGGUGAUGGAUGACUUCGAGGAGAGGAGGAAUACCGACGAGUCGCGCAUCACUUUCCUCAGAGGAGAGAAGGUGAAAAACUGCACAGUUCACGUCAAUGAUGACUCUGUAUUUGAGCCCGAAGAGGAGUUCCAGGUGCACCUUGGGACACCGCUGGGUGACCACUGGAGUGGGGCCAUGGUGGGCGCUAGCGACAUUGUCACCAUCACCAUCACCAAUGAUGAAGAUGCGCCCACCAUUGAGUUUGAGCAGGCGUCCUACCAAGUCAGAGAGCCUCCCGGUCCGGAUGGCAUUGAGGUGCUUAACAUCAAGGUGAUACGUAGGGGGGAUCUGGACCGGACCUCCAAGAUCCGCUGCAGCACCCGAGAUGGAUCAGCCCAGUCUGGAGUGGACUACAAUCCCAAGAGCCGAGUGCUCAAAUUCACCCCUGGGAUGGACCACAUCCUGUUCAAAGUUGAGAUUCUGUCCAAUGAGGACAGGGAGUGGCACGAGUCCUUGUCAUUAGUCCUUGGCCCUGACGACCCUGUGGAGGCGGUGCUCGGGGAGAUCACUAUGGCGACGGUGACCAUUUUGGACCAGGAGGCCUCAGGCAGUCUCAUCCUCCCUGCCACGCCUAUUGUGGUCUCUCUUGCUGACUAUGAUCACGUCCAAGAGGUGACCAAGGAAGGCAGUAAGAAGACACCCUCUCCAGGUUACCCUCUUGUAUGCGUCACCCCCUGUGACCCUCAUUACCCCAAGUACUCUGUGAUGAAGGAGCGCUGCGAGGAGGCGGGCAUCAACCAGACCCAAGUUCACUUCUCCUGGGAAGUCGCGGCGCCCACUGACACCAGUGGUGCCCGGUCCCCCUUCGAAACAGUCACAGACACCACCCCAUAUACCAGCGUCAACCAUAUGGUCCUGGACAGUAUUUAUUUCAGCCGUCGCUUCCAUGUCCGCUGCGUUGCUCAAGCUAGGGAUAAGGCGGGUCACCUUGGAACACCACUGAGGAGCAACAUCGCCACCAUUGGCACAGAGGGCUCCAUCUGCCACACGCCUGUUACCACGGGAACCGCCAGGGGCUUCCAGGCUCAGUCCUUCAUCGCCACACUCAAAUACCUGGACGUCAAGCACAAGGAGCACCCCAACCGAAUCCAUAUCUCAGUGCAGAUCCCCCAUCAGGACGGCAUGCUCCCACUGGUGUCCACCAUGCCGCUGCACAACCUGCACUUCCUGCUGUCAGAGUCCAUCUAUAGACAGCAGCACGUCUGCUCCAACCUGGUUACCCUCAAAGACCUGCAGGGUGUCUCCGAGACAGGUUUCCUGGACGAUGUAUCUUAUGACAGCAUCUCUCUGGGGCCGGGUUAUGACCGCCCUUACCAGUUCAACCCCAACGUGCGGGAGGCCAAGAGCAUCCAGCUCUACAAGCACCUCAACCUCAAGAGCUGCAUCUGGACAUUUGACGCCUACUACGACAUGACUGAGCUCAUCGACGUCUGCGGGGGCUCCGUCACCGCCGAUUUCCAGGUUCGGGACUCGGCGCAGUCCUUCCUGACGGUGCAGGUUCCUCUCUACGUGUCUUACAUCUACGUGACAGCACCGAGAGGCUGGGCCUCUCUGGAGCAUCACACCGAGAUGGAGUUCUCCUUCUUCUACGACACCGUGCUCUGGAGGACAGGUAUCCAGACUGACAGCGUCCUCUCAGCCAGACUGCAGAUCAUCAGGAUCUACAUCAGAGAAGACGGACGACUGGUGAUUGAGUUCAAAACCCACGCAAAAUUCAGAGGUCAGUUUGUCCUUGAACAUCACACUCUGCCAGGCCACAAGUCCCACCUGAUGGCUCCUGACCACCUCGGAGGCAUCGAGUUUGACAUUCAGCUGCUCUGGAGCGCUCAAACCUUUGACUCACCGUACCAGCUGUGGAGGGCCACCAGCUCUUACAGCAGGAAGGACUACUCUGGAGAGUACACCGUCUUCUUGAUCCCAUGCACUGUCCAGCCCACUCAGCCCUGGAUCGAUCCCGGCGACAAACCUCUGUCCUGUACCGCUCACGCUCCAGAGAAGUUUCUAGUGCCGAUCGCCUUCCAGCAGACCAACCGGCCUGUUCCUGUUGUUUAUUCCCUCAACACGGAGUUCCAGCUGUGUAACAAUGAGAAGGUGUUCAUGAUGGACCCCGCCACAACUGAUGUCUCUAUGGCAGAGAUGGACUACAAGGGAGCGUUCUCAAUGGGUCAGACUUUGUAUGGAAGGGUGUUGUGGAACCCCGAGCAGAACUUGAACGCAGCCUACAAACUGCAGCUGGAGAAGGUUUACCUCUGCACUGGAAGGGACGGAUAUGUUCCCUUUUUUGAUCCCACAGGGACGCUGUACAACGAGGGGCCACAGUAUGGCUGCAUCCAGCCCAACAAGCACCUCAAACAUCGCUUCCUACUGCUGGAUCGUAAACAACCUGACGUAUGUGACAAAUUUUUCCACGAUGUUCCCUUCGAGGCUCACUUAGCCUCAGACAUCCCAGAUCUGCAGUCCAUGACAGCCAUGCCGGGUGUUGAUGGCUUUACAAUGAAGGUUGAUGCUCUCUACAAGGUGGAGGCGGGUCACCAGUGGUACCUGCAGGUGAUUUAUGUGAUCAGCCCAGAGUCACGGUCCAGUCCCAGGAUUCAGCGCUCGGUGACGUAUGAGCUGAGCCGCCCUAAGCGUGACCUGGUGGAUCGCAGCGGGCGCCUGACGCUGGAUGAGUCGCUGAUCUACGACAACGAGGGCGACCAGGUGAAGAACGGUACCAACAUGAAGUCGCUCCGUCUGGAGGCCGGGCCCUCUGCCACCUUUAACGCCCACGUGGGCAGUUCGGUGGGCGGGGGAGUGGCCGCCGUGACCCUACUGGUCCUGGUCCUGCUGGCCUCCUGCUUCCUGUUCCGCCGCUGCCGACGGUCGGCCAAGAAGAAGAGCAAGAAGGCUCAGAAAGUGUACGAGGAGUACCCGCUCAACACCAAGGUGGAGGUGUGCAUGGACAAGUGUGUGGAGAAGAACUUCAGCACCAAACACUGCACCGUGAGGAACGUCAAUAUCCUCAACCGCAACCAGGAGCCCAACAGCAAGGCCAAGGUCAAACAGGUCAACCUGGAGGUCAAACUCCACAACAACCUCAACGACGGCACUGAGGUCUGAAACACUGGUGAGGAAGAGUAGGAGAGGAGGAGAUGGAGAGGAGGAGCAGGACGGAAAAAAAGGUAUUUUCUAAAAGAAAGUUUGUACUUAUGGAACGAGAUGUUUGUUAAUGUAUUUUUAUACCACUUUGAAAAAGGGAAGAGUGAGACAUGCAGAAAGCUACGCAGAGUUUUAAUCAUUUUGCAACUGGGCUACCUCAGGAAUCCACAAAACCACUCAGCUGCGUGAAACCGCCAAAACAUCUGCAUCUGAUCAUCCAAACUCCAUCUGAAACUGCUGUCCAUUGCAUUACUGUGUAACUUGACAUUUACGUCCUUUUUAGCACCAAGAUGGUGACUGGUAGCUCAGACACUGGUGAUUGUUUGACAAAAACACUUCUCUGCUGCAUUGAGUCAUUUCACUGCUACUAAAUGUCACUACUAUAGAGUGGAAGCCAGUGUAGAAGUCCUCCUUUUCUGCAUAUAUCUUUAUCAUUUACUGUUUCUGCUGAUAAAUUAACUCAAAAGACUCUGAUUAAACAGAACAAAGUUGAAUUUUCCUGUGGAGCGACUUGUACACCAGCUACAGCUGCUUCUGACUGCUGUGAAAGUAUUAAGCACAUAGAGUGUGCUGCUAUCGCUCGAGGGCGAAUGAGUGCAGAGUGUAAAUAAUAACAAAAAUGAAUGAUACCUAUUCAAGUGCAAUUAUGCCAUAGCUUUUGUUAAUCCUUCCCUCAUGAGCAGGAACUUUAUUUGCAUUUAAAAGAAACUUGUAUUUCAAGCCUUACAUAGAGACAUUUGUACUGUCAAGUUGAACAAACAGAUAAUUAUUCUUGUUUCAACACAAAAACAUAUUUUUUUGUUUGUACUGUACACACAGCUGCCAAUAUUAAGUGCCAUGCAGUAUUUUUCCUCAUGAAUUUCAAAACUAAUCAUCCAAAGUGUUUUUUUUUUCUUUUUCAAGAGUGAGAAAAUUUCCAUGUGAUUGUAAUAAACCAGACGCCACCGUUUGGACA